rnacentral:lncRNA from 1 species
CUGAUGCUAGUGGUGAGGAAGAUUUCCCCUGGAGUGGAGUUCUGGUGGGUUCCUUGCUGUGAAUAGAAGGGAGAAUGGACUCGAUUGAGAAUUGGCUGUGGGCUUUGCAGAUCCAAACGAUAGCAAUGUGUGCCUUGCAGCGUUGGUAGCUCUAGAUCUGUACUAUGCAGAAUAUCUGACAUUGCCCUGACGUUAUCCAUGUGAGCCUUCAGUAAAAUGGUUUCCUAGCACAAACCUUUGUGCUAAUGACGUCAAUAACGUUGGGUGGAAUGCAAACCAAGCACUGUGUGGGCCUCUAUCAGUGAAGAGGAGAGUUGCUUCCCUAACACCUGCCUCCCCCAAGACUUUGAGGCCUGCAAGUGGUAGCAGCAACGUGGAAAGAGGGCUGCAUCGCGGGACUCUGGGAGCUGACAGGUGGUGAUUGACUGAUUCGUGCAUGUCCAUGCAAUUUGGCGCAUUCAGCUGCGUGCUUGCGGAUGUGGAUGUAUUUCACAGAAGCAGCAGCCUGCCUUCCCUUCCCUGGAUUCCAUCUGCUGUGCGAAACAAGAUCUGCAGUCAUUCCCAGGUACGUGGGACUUCUCUAGGCUAGAAGGUCUGUACAGCACAGACCAAGGAACUUCCUUCCUAUGAGGUUUAGUUUAGAAUACAGGAGAGUCAACUCUUUCCCAUGUUGUGACGUUUACCAUGUGCAAUUUACUGUCGGACAAGUUAACCAGACCUGCAUAAAGAAUAUCCAAAAAAUCUGAUCAACAUAGUCAGCUAAUCUAUAGCACUCAGAUCCAUAGUUCUUCCAACCUGUAUAGCCAAAGACUGGAAAUUUUUAUCCCAUUUUGUUCUUUUUCUGAUUUUAUUGGAUAAUAAUAUUGAAUUCUAGGACUUGGGUCGCUUUCCUUGUUUUCUGGUUAAUUUUUUUUUACAAUUUUCUUUUUAUUAAUAUUAUCCAGAUAUGGAACUAUAUAUUGCAAACCUGUUUUGUGACUAGCCUGACCAUCUCUUUCUGUGUCGCACCAUUGAUUAGACCCACUUUUGAUGAUGGUAGACACAGCCACACAUGACUAUCAGCUCUGGUUAAUGUCCCUGGCUUAUUUCAGGAUCAUUGCCAUGACAGAAACAUGUCAGUAAUAGGUGGUUUCCACUGAACAAUGACUUGUAGACUGUGGCCAUGCAAGCAGAGCAAAGAGAAAAGAUCAGCAAUUAUCCAGUGGAUGUGAUCCAUGCUGACAGGCAAUCUGGAUAAUUCAAAUAGAAACAACUUCUUUUGCCUCACUGGCAGGUUUGGGGCUGAUUUAGUGAGAUCAUUGUUUAACUUUCUUUGCCUGUGGAAAUGUAGUACGUGUGUUUGCUGGUUAAGUGAGGGUUUGGGGGUUAUAACCACAGCAUCUGUUCAUUUGACAUUCAAGUUUCACUCUGGUUUGGAAGCCCUUGUGCCUACAAUUUAAAAGCAGCAAUACACACCUAACUCCCAGCUGUCUGGGAACUCAGACUGCAUAUGCUUCUUGGUUUUCUAAUCUGCCCAGAGAAAUAAAACCAUCACCUGAGCCAAAGAAUAGUUUGCCUAAUUGGAUUUAAAACAAAAAAAAAUGUAGAGACACACACAGUGUGUUCUAAUGUCGCAGUUGUCUGAGCGACAUUGCUAGCUGAGCCAGACCACUUACCUAGACUUGAAGAUUUACAUUUUGAUGAUGUUUUUCAAGUGCUAUUUUAUCCAGAGGAAGAAAAAGCAGUAAUUUAAGCAGCUGCAGAAUUCCUCACACAUCUGCAGGAAGUCCCUCCUUCUGCCUUGGGCAGCACAGCAUAAUGGAUAGACCACAAACUUUAGAGUCGAUUUGACCUGGUUCAAAUCCCAGCUCCAAAACUCAUUAGCAAUAUUAUCUUGAGCAAGAUACUUCAUCUUUUCCAGCAUCACUUGCCUUAUUUAUAAAAUGUGGAUGACAACCAUUUUGAUAACUUCAAGGCUGACUUGAGGAUUAAAGUUUAUGUAUUCAAUGCACAUCUGUUGAUUGCCUACCAUGGAUCAGGCACUGUUCUGGGCACUGGAGAAAUGGCAGUGAACCGAGCAGACAGAAACACUGCCUUUGGGGAGUUGAUAAUUUAUCAGGGGAGAUAAACAAAGACAAGAUUAUUAAGGAGAAUAAAUAGCAGGUGAGAUGGUGGUAAGAGCCAGAGAAGAAACAUAAAACGUGGGAAGGGGGCAGGGAAUGAUGGUGCAGAGAGAGAUGGAACUGUGAUGGGGAGUUAUAGAAGGCUUCACUGAGAAGUUGAUCAAUAAAGAGGUGAGAGAGUAGGCUGUGGGGAUAUUUGGGAGAAGAGUGACUUGGGUUGAACUGUGUCUCCUCAAAGAGAUAGAUGAAAGUUCCAAAGACCAGUAAUUCUGAGUGUAACCUUCUUGGGAAACAAGGUCUUUACAGAGGUCAUUGAGUUUAACAUGGUCAUUAGGGUGGGCCCUAAUGGAAUAUGCUGGUGACCUUAUAAAAAGUAGAAAUUUAGACACAGAAACAGGUACAGAGGGAAGAUGAUGUGAAGACACAAAGAAUGCCUGCAGUGUGCCUGGAGUGAUGUUACUACAAGCCAGGGAACACCAAGGAUUGCUGGCAAACACCAGGAGCCAGGAGAGGCGAGGAAGAAUCCUUGCCUAGAGCCUACAGAGGACGGAUGCCCCUGCUGAUGUCUUGACUUCAGACUUCUGGCCUCUAGAAUCAUG